UACGAAGGGUGCAAGCGUUACUCGGAAUUACUGGGCGUAAAGGGUGCGUAGGUGGUUUGUUAAGUCUGCUGUGAAAUCCCCGGGCUCAACCUGGGAAUGGCAGUGGAUACUGGCAAGCUAGAGUGCGGUAGAGGGUAGUGGAAUUCCCGGUGUAGCAGUGAAAUGCGUAGAGAUGUGGAGGAAUACCGAUGGCGAAGGCAGCCCCCUGGGAUAACACUGACGCUCAUGCACGAAAGCGUGGGGAGCAAACAGG
rnacentral:rRNA from 1 species